CGUCAACGAAUGUGAAAAUGAACAAACCAACCCCUGUGACAGGGAUGCAUUUUGCAAUAACACCAUAGGAUCAUACAGUUGCCAUUGCAAACAAGGGUUCGUUGGUGAUGGAUUCAAUUGCACCGACGUCAACGAAUGUGAAAAUGGACAAACCAAUCACUGUGACAGAUAUGCAAUUUGCAAUAACACCAUAGGAUCAUACAGUUGCCAUUGCAAACAAGGGUUCGUUGGUGAUGGAUUCAAUUGCACCGCGAUAAUUCCACAUCCCUCUGCAUGGUUCCCUCUCAACGUGACCCAUGAAACUAGGGAGAUCGAGGAACGCACAACCUCCGGGAAGAAGUGGGGCGAGGUUUACUUGUCCCUAGGUCCCGACGGCACACAAGAUGGUUCAUUUUUUCCGUGGUCCAC